AGAGGAAUAGCUGGGUCAAAUGAUGAUUACAUUCCCAGAUUUCCAAGGAAUCUCCAUACUGCUUUCCAAAUUAGUUGCACCAAUUUGCAGUCCUACCAGCAAU
rnacentral:pre_miRNA from 1 species